GCCGGAGUGGCGGAAUGGCAGACGCGCGGGACUCAAAAUCCCGUAUCCGCAAGGGUGUGAGGGUUCGACUCCCUCCUCCGGCACCA
rnacentral:tRNA from 1 species